rnacentral:rRNA from 1 species
GUCUCAAAGAUUAAGCCAUGCAAGUGUCAGUUCAUGCCAAACUAAGGUGAAACCGCGAAAGGCUCAUUAAAUCAGUUACAGUUUACUUGAUGGCAUGACGUUACCGUUACUUGGAUAACUGUGGCAAUUCUAGAGCUAAUACAUGCACUCGAGUCUCGACCGCGUUAGCGCGCGGAAGGGAUGCUUUUAUUAGAUCAAAACCAAUCGGGAAAUCGGAUUCGCGUCCGACGUACCGUACAGUCUUGGUGACUCUGGAUAAAUUGUCGCUGAUCGCAAGGUCUUCGCGCCUGCGACGCAUCUUUCAAAUGUCUGACUUAUCAACUAUCGACGGUAUGCCACGUGCCUACCGUGGUGGUAACGGGUAACGGGGAAUCAGGGUUCGAUUCCGGAGAGGGAGCCUGCGAAACAGCUACCACAUCCAAGGAAGGCAGCAGGCGCGCAAAUUACCCACUCCCGGCACGGGGAGGUAGUGACGAAAAAUA